UGCCAGCAGGCGCCUCCGCUCGCCUCUGAUCACUGCAACUCGCGUCCUGAGACGCACACACCGCGCCCAUCCCGGGGCAGACACUGGCUCCCGGUCGGCCCAGGCGGUUCCUAGAAGCAAAAGGUGUUUUCCAUCAGUAAUUGCCCUUUGCGUUUGUGUAGCGUUCUAGAGUUUUCUAAUAUUUUUUGUCAUUCAAUCAUCAGAAGAAUCCUGUGAAUUAGGCAGAGUGAGGCUCUUGUUUUCAUUUUUGCAAGGAAAUUGAGGCUUAGAAAGAUGGCGUGCCUGACCCGGGGUGAAGUGAGAACAUUGUGCGCCGGCAGGUCUGUCCCAGCAUUAAAUUGGCUUAUCCCGUGAUAAUACGACGAUGGUGGCAAACAGUGACAGAGCGCUACCUGGGCCCAGUCUGAGUAAACACUUCGCCUGCAGUAACAGCUCACCCUCAGGGGCUUCUCACGCUGACAACUCGGGCGUCAGGAUGGCCCAGGACAGUGGUCUGAGGCUAUAGAAAGUGGGCAGCCAGGAGUGGCAGCAGGUGAGAGAGAAGCAGGGAAGGAGACCAAGGGCAGUGCCGGCUCGAGCAGCCACUCGGAGGUGGAGCUGAUACACGGAGCGGACGUGCAGUCUGGAACGGGGCACUGUCAGACCACAGGAAACAUGCACUUCAGGCCCUGCUGUCAUGGCUUCCUCAUCACCCAACUCUUUCCCUGAGGAGGAAGACUGGAAGACUCGGGGAGGAACUCACCUGAAGGCUCGUUGACACACGUGACUGGUGGAUGAUGCUAGCUGGUGGCUGACACUAUGGCUGGGACUGUUUACUGGCACCUCUACUUGGGGCCUGUUGCUGUGGCCUGGGCUUCCUCCCAAUAUGGCGGCCAUGUGUUGUGGGGCAGGCGAGCAGCCCAGAUGGUGGCCAUGCGGCAGAGCAGGAGAGCUCCCAAGAUGGCAGCCAUGU